rnacentral:misc_RNA from 1 species
ACAAACUUGGUCAUUUAGAGGAAGUAAAAGUCGUAACAAGGUUUCCGUAGGUGAACCUGCGGAAGGAUCAUUAUUGCUUGCAGCGUCGUUUUAGGGACACCUAAGCGGCAUAAGCUUGCUCCCCGUGCCUAUUUAUCACUAUACGUAAGUCCUCAGCAGGGAGACCUGCUGUAGGAGUUAUUGUAAACCACCUGCAUGUACAGCAUUUUAUAAUUCAGACAAACCUAUUAUCACAACUUUCAACAAUGGAUCUCUUGGUUCUGGCAUCGAUGAAGAACGCAGC